rnacentral:lncRNA from 1 species
AAACAUCAAAGUAAACCCUAAACCCUAAAUCGAAACUUAAAACAUCAACUCUAAACCCUAAAACAUGAAACAUCAAUUCGAAACCCUAAACCCCGAAACAUCAACUCUAAACCCUAAACCCUAAACCUUCAAAUCUAAACUCUAAAUUCUAAACGUAAACCCUAAACCCUAAACACUAUAUUUUUCUAAAAUUCGAACCCUAAACCCUAAAACCCUAAACCUUCAAAUCUAAACCUUAAAACAUCAACUCUAAACCCUAAAUGUAAACCCUAAACCCAAAAACCCUAAACCUUCAAAUCUAAACCCUAAAACAUCAACUCUAGGGUUUAGGGUUUAGGGUUUACGUUAUUUAGGGUUUACGUUUAGGGUUUAGAAUUGAAGGUUUAGGAUUUAGGGCUUAGAGUUGAUGUUUUAGGGUUUAGGGUUGUAGUUUAGGGUUUAAGGUUUAGAGUUGAUGUUUUAGGGUUUAGAGUUGAAGGUUUAGGAUUUAGGGUUUAGAGUUGAUGUUUUGGGGUUUAGGGUUCAGAGUUGAUGUUUCAAGGUUUUAGGGUUUAUGUUUAGGGUUUAGAGUUUAAGGUUUAGGGUUUAGGGCUUAGAGUUGUUGUUUUAUGGUUUAGGGUUAAUUUUUUAGGCUUUAGGGUUUAAAGUUUACUUUUUAAGGUUUAGAGUUGAUAGUUUAGGGUUUUGUAUUGAUGGUUUAGGGUUUAGAGUUGAAGUUUAGGGUUUAGGGUUUAAAGUUGAUGUUUAGGGUUUAGUGUUGAAGGUUUAGGGUUUAGGGUUUAGGGUUUAGGGUUUAGAGUUGAUGUGUAUCUAAUGAAUUUUUAUCUGGACAUUUUUCUUUUCCUUGUUAACCAUCCCAUGUUGUUCCUAUGUACUCGAGUGGUGAUACAAAAUCAUGGCUUAGCAACACCGUUAAUCGAAAAAUUUCAGCUGUUCAUGUUUCUUGUUUAGAAAC